GUAAGUUUGGCCAGAGCGUCUGCUUCACGAUUCUCAGAUGGUGGGAUGAAAACAAAAGAACAGAGAUGAGAGAUGAUUGAUGUCAGCCACAACACCGAUGAUCUCUUUAGUCAUAGCUCUGUUGGUAAUGGCUCGGAUGAGCAUUUGGGAAUGGGAGCAAACCCUAAGAUGUGAAAUCUUAAGCGAUGCUGCCAUGUGAAGACUGGACCGGACUGCCAAGGCUUCUGCCAUAAGGGGGGAUCCGAUGAAUCUUAUGAAGAGGGAGCCUUGCCAGACCUGCUGUAUUUAAAUCUGCGUCCCAGGAAGCAUCUGUGUUACAGUAUAUAGAUUCCGUGCUUCUCUUCGUUGGGAUCAAAGUCGAUUUACGAGUGGCUUGGACGGCAAAUACCUUUCCCCGCUGCUUCCUCGGGGGAGAUUCCUUCCUCGAGGUCCAUAUCACCCAAAGGAUCCAAGGGGAAUGAGCUUCCAAACUUUGAUUGCAAAGGAGCAGGUGAAGAAGAGGUGUAGUGCAGUUUCCUGCACUUUGCUUCUAUUGUCUCCUGUGGGAAGAGCAUCACUGAGAAUGGACCAGAGGAACACUUGCAUCUUUGGGGACGACUUGAUAGACCAUACGUCCUUCCACCAACUUAUUUCAACUUAUCUGGGUGAGAGAUAGCUGAGGCCGAGUGAUAACCUGAUCUAGUGGUGUAAAUACCAGAUUGUAAAGGUUGCCAGAUAUAAACAUCUUCCAUUCCAGUUUCACUCGGCUGGAGUUGUUGUAUCUGGUGUGCGAGAUCAGGUCUAUCCUUUUCUUAUUCCACUGGAGAUCAGAAACUCGUAGGUCGCUAGCAUCUUCUGUGAUUGGGCCAUAUGAUGCAGAUUUCAAGCUCAACUGGAAUGAGUAGCUAUCACAAGCAUGUUUGGACUUUGGUUUUGUUGGUACGGAGGCCUUGAUAAAUUUAUAAAACUGAAGCUUCGAUAUGUUCCAAAGUCAACACGUUUUGUGGCACAGUGGCAGCCAAAGUGGCAAUGGAUGGUCUUAUAUUUGGCCCCAUAGAUCUACUUAUAUUCUUCACAUAAUGGGAUAAGCUACGGGCAAGAACACAUCUCAAGUUAAAGAAGGACUCAAGACAGAUUUUCUACCAGCUAUAGCUCUUGAAGGCGGAGCAUGGCCGCUUCUUCAGAUCGCAAACUUCUGAUACGUUCCUGUUCAAUAGCAACUACUUUACGUCAACAUCUUUUGCCUGAUAUAUUGUUUUAGGAGAUGUUGAAGACCGAAAGAGAAGUAAGGUUUGUUAGCUGAAGAGGUAUGUUUCCAUGUACCAUCUGAAGCUACUGCAUACAACACUGAUGCAAAUGUCUCAACCCUCCAAAUAACUCAUUCUGCCAACGGAAACUGAUCCUGUCCCUCCUAUAAGCUCACCAGCAGAUAAUUCCACAUCUAUUAGCGCUUCUCCAUCUGAUAUAGUAUGUGUUCCGGAAACUACACAAUUUAACACGGAUUCUGGUUUCAUUGGGAACAUCACUACAUCAACUUCUGUUUCACCUACUUCUUCUGCUCCUUUAGUCUUCGCUGCUGCAGGUACACUAUCACUAUCUACCCCUGUGGUGGAUUUGAAAUGUAAAUCCAGUGUACAUGGCCUCCAAGAUAGUUGCUUACAGUUAAGUGAUGCAAAAGGAUCAAACAGAUUCGCUAAUCUAGCCAUGUUAGAAGAAGAUAUACAGCUGGAUGUUGUGACCUCCCCCUCUCAGUCUAUGUCCCCAUCAGUCGAAACCAACGCUCAAUUUUUUUAUAACUCUUCCCUGCCUUCAACGCCAUCUUCAUUUUCAGAACUUUUUGUGGACGAUGUUGUGGCUACAAGCUCCGAUAGUUUUGUUAUGGCGCAAAGAUCUCGUGGAGAUCGUAGUAAAUAUGAAAUAAUCUUUUUUUUUUCUUAAAUUCCAUCCCUUUAGAUGGUAUUUUGUUCUAUUGGAUCUGAAGGGUGAAUGAUAGUUUUUAGA